rnacentral:hammerhead_ribozyme from 1 species
AUACAGAUGAUGAGUCCCAAAUAGGAUGAAAUUCGAAUCCUUGAU